ensembl:lncRNA
GAUGCCAUCCUCCCGUGUCGCUCCGUCACAGCGGGCCAGUCGGUGAAGUCUGCGCGCUGGAGGAGAAACGGGGAAGUACUGCUGGAGCUGAAUGGUCGGACAGGGGAAAUCACAUACGGGGAUGACUUUAACAGAAGCCGGGUAUCGAUACCAUCUGACUGGGACCGACGGGCAGACCUGUCCCUCACCAUAAAGGGAGCUCAGCAACAAGACGGAGGAGUUUAUUACUGCGACAUAGAGAAGGCCGAGAAACACCGCUCUGCUGUCCGCCUGCGAGUGCGCAAACCACCGGAGUCCUACCACUGGAUAUGGAUCACAAUCAUCAUAACAGCAGC